rnacentral:rRNA from 1 species
CAAUAGCGUAUAUUUAAGUUGUUGCAGUUAAAAAGCUCGUGGUCGGAUUUUGGCUGAGAACGAUCGGUCCGCCGUUAGGUGUGCACUGAUUGGUCUCAGCUUCCUGGUGAGGAGGUGUGCUUCACGGCCACUUAGUCACCGUGGUUACUUUGAAAAAAUUAGAGUGUUCAAAGCGGGCUUACGCUUGAAUAUAUUAGCAUGGAAUAACACCAUAGGACUCCUGUCCUAUUUCGUUGGUCUCGGGACGGGAGUAAUGAUUAAGAGGAACAGUUGGGGGCAUUCGUAUUUCAUUGUCAGAGGUGAAAUUCUUGGAUUUAUGAAAGACGGACUACUGCGAAAGCAUUUGCCAAGGAUGUUUUCAUUGA